UCAUCCGGCUACCUCAUUCUGAGCUGGAAACACCAAGGUUUUGCCUCCACUGUCUGCCAUCGCUUCUCCCCAGCUCUGCCCAUCUGUGGGCUAAGCUCCUCUUGGGGCCUUGGCUCACUCAUCAUUAGGAACACAUAUCACCUCAAGCCUGGCACCCUGGGAUGGUUUCCUGCAGCCUGUGCUCAGCCAUUCUGAAGCUACUACUGGAUUUGUCCUGGCUUUGAAAAUUUGUGUGACUAAAUUUCCAGAGUCUGUUCAGGGAACAGAGUCAAAAGAGCAGGAGCUUCAGAAAGAGACUUGGUGUUGGAGUCUGCUGCAGGCAUCUAUCACCUAUCUGGCCAUGAGCAAGCACUUUUCUAUUUAAGCCUUCUUCUGUAAAGUGAAGUUAACAGUACUUACUUUUGAGGCUACUGUAUGGGUUAGCAAUACUAUAUAUGAGUUGAUGAAUGUACUGAUGAAGUUCAAUAAAUCCAGGCCACGUUAUAUGAUUCUAGUUCCUUUUAAGGUGCCCAGUGCCCUGUAAUUGCUUAUUCACCUGCAACCAUGGACCUCUGCUAAGGACCUCUGAUCCUCCCCUACAGACAGAGCCUAUUCUAUGUAUUCCCAGCUGCUCAUAGACACUCCUGCUUCCUGAACAGGUGUCAUGGAUGCUCUGCCUUGACACUCAGACCUCCCUUCAGAACAGAAGGAUACAUGUCUGGCUACUGGCAGACACUCUCAGCCCUCUCUGAG
rnacentral:lncRNA from 10 species